rnacentral:rRNA from 1 species
UACGGAAGGCAGCAGUGGGGAAUAUUGCACAAUGGGCGAAAGCCUGAUGCAGCUAUGCCGCGUGUAUGAAGAAGGCCUUAGGGUUGUAAAGUACUUUCAUCGGGGAGGAAAAAACAAAACUAAUAAUUUUAUUUCUUGACGUUACCCGAAAAAGAAGCACCGGCUAACUCCGUGCCAGCAGCCGCGGUAAUACGGAGGGUGCUAGCGUUAAUCAGAAUUACUGGGCGUAAAGAGCACGUAGGUGGUUUUUUUAAAGUCAGAUGUGAAAUCCCUGGGCUUAACCUGGAACUGCAUUUUGAAACUGAAAUACUAGAGUAUCGUAGAGGGAGGUAGAAUUCUAGGUGUAGCGGUGAAAUGCGUAGAUAUCUGGAGGAAUACCUGUGGCGAAAGCGGCCUCCUAAACGAAUACUGACACUGAGGUGCGAAAGCGUGGGGAGCGAAACAGGGAUUAGAUA